UACGGGGGGGGGUAAGCGUUGUUCGGAAUUACUGGGCGUAAAGGGCUCGUAGGCGGCCAACUAAGUCAGACGUGAAAUCCCUCAGCUUAACUGGGGAACUGCGUCUGAUACUGGAUGGCUUGGAUCCGGGAGAGGGAUGCGGAAUUCCAGGUGUAGCGGUGAAAUGCGUAGAUAUCUGGAGGAACACCGGUGGCGAAGGCGGCAUCCUGGACCGGUAUUGACGCUGAGGAGCGAAAGCCAGGGGAGCAAACGGG
rnacentral:rRNA from 1 species